UACAGAGGUCUCAAGCGUUGUUCGGAUUCAUUGGGCGUAAAGGGUGCGUAGGCGGCGCGGUAAGUCGGGUGUGAAAUUUCGAGGCUUAACUUCGAAACUGCAUUCGAUACUGCCGUGCUUGAGGACUGGAGAGGAGUACGUGGAAUUUGACGGUGUAGCGGUGGAAAUGCGUAGAUAUCGUAAGGAAGACCAGUGGCGAAGGCGGGUCUCUGGAC
rnacentral:rRNA from 1 species